rnacentral:rRNA from 1 species
UGGGGCGGUCGCCUCCUAAAAGGUAACGGAGGCGCUCAAAGGUUCCCUCAGAAUGGUUGGAAAUCAUUCAUAGAGUGUAAAGGCAUAAGGGAGCUUGACUGCGAGACCUACAAGUCGAGCAGGGUCGAAAGACGGACUUAGUGAUCCGGUGGUUCCGCAUGGAAGGGCCAUCGCUCAACGGAUAAAAGCUACCCCGGGGAUAACAGGCUUAUCUCCCCCAAGAGUUCACAUCGACGGGGAGGUUUGGCACCUCGAUGUCGGCUCAUCGCAUCCUGGGGCUGUAGUCGGUCCCAAGGGUUGGGCUGUUCGCCCAUUAAAGCGGUACGCGAGCUGGGUUCAGAACGUCGUGAGACAGUUCGGUCCCUAUCCGUCGUGGGCGUAGGAAAUUUGAGAGGAGCUGUCCUUAGUACGAGAGGACCGGGAUGGACAUACCUCUGGUGUACCAGUUGUCGUGCCAACGGCAUAGCUGGGUAGCUAUGUGUGGACGGGAUAAGUGCUGAAAG